rnacentral:rRNA from 1 species
CCUACGGGAGGCAGCAGUGAGGAAUAUUGGUCAAUGGCCGGAAGGCUGAACCAGCCAGGCCGCGUGAAGGGCAGGGCCCUAGGGGCGUUAAACUUCUUUUGUGCGGGAGCAAUAAUGGUCACGUGUGGCCAGACGAGAGUACCGUACGAAUAAGCAUCGGCUAACUACGUGCCAGCAGCCGCGGUAAUACGUAGGGGGCAAGCGUUAUCCGGAUUUACUGGGUGGAAAGGGGGCGCAGACGGCAAUGCAAGCCAGGAGUGAAAGCCCGGGGCCCAACCCCGGGACUGCUCUUGUAACUGCAUGGCUGGAGUACAGGAGGGGCAGGCGGAAUUCCUAGUGUAGCGGUGAAAUGCGUAGAUAUUAGGAGGAACACCGGUGGCGAAGGCGGCCUGCUGGACUGUGACUGACGUUGAGGCCCGAAGGCGUGGGGAGCAAACAGGAUUAGAUACCCCAGUAGUC